ACGUUGUAAAACGACGGCCAGUGAAUUAGAACUCGGUACGCGCGGAUCUUCCAGAGAUCCUACGGGAGGCAGCAGUGGGGAAUAUUGCACAAUGGGCGCAAGCCUGAUGCAGCGACGCCGCGUGAGGGAUGACGGCCUUCGGGUUGUAAACCUCUUUCAGUAGGGAAGAAGCCGCAAGGUGACGGUACCUGCAGAAGAAGCGCCGGCUAACUACGUGCCAGCAGCCGCGGUAAUACGUAGGGCGCAAGCGUUAUCCGGAAUUAUUGGGCGUAAAGAGCUCGUAGGCGGUUUGUCGCGUCUGCCGUGAAAGUCCGGGGCUCAACUCCGGAUCUGCGGUGGGUACGGGCAGACUAGAGUGAUGUAGGGGAGACUGGAAUUCCUGGUGUAGCGGUGAAAUGCGCAGAUAUCAGGAGGAACACCGAUGGCGAAGGCAGGUCUCUGGGCAUUAACUGACGCUGAGGAGCGAAAGCAUGGGGAGCGAACAGGAUUAGAUACCCUGGUAGUCCAUGCCGUAAACGUUGGGCACUAGGUGUGGGGGACAUUCCACGUUUUCCGCGCCGUAGCUAACGCAUUAAGUCCCCCGCCUGGGGAGUACGGCCGCAAGGCUAAAACUCAAAGAAUGACGGAA
rnacentral:rRNA from 1 species